GAUCCUGGCUUAGGAUGAACGCUAGCUACAGGCUUAACACAUGCAAGUCGAGGGGCAGCAUGGGAUCAGCCUGCUGAUCCUGAUGGCGACCGGCGCACGGGUGAGUAACGCGUAUCCAACCUUCCCCCUACUCAGGCAUAGCCCGGUGAAAACCGGAUUAACUCCUGAUAGUUUCACUAGAUGGCAUCUGACGGUGGAUAAAGCUCAGCGGUAAGGGAUGGGGAUGCGUCUGAUUAGCUUGUUGGCGGGGUAACGGCCCACCAAGGCGACGAUCAGUAGGGGUUCUGAGAGGAAGGUCCCCCACAUUGGAACUGAGACACGGUCCAAACUCCUACGGGAGGCAGCAGUGAGGAAUAUUGGUCAAUGGGCGCGAGCCUGAACCAGCCAAGUAGCGUGCAGGAAGACGGCCCUAUGGGUUGUAAACUGCUUUUGUGCGGGAAUAAAGUCAGGGACGUGUCCCUGUUUGCAUGUACCGCAAGAAUAAGGACCGGCUAAUUCCGUGCCAGCCGCAGC
rnacentral:rRNA from 1 species